CGCAAGCCUGACGGAGCAAUACCGCGUGAGGGAGGAAGGUCCUUGGAUUGUAAACCUCUUUUAUCAGGGAAGAAAAAAAUGACGGUACCUGAUGAAUAAGCAUCGGCUAACUCCGUGCCAGCAGCCGCGGUAAUACGGAGGAUGCAAGCGUUAUCCGGAAUUAUUGGGCGUAAAGCGUCCGUAGGUGGUCAUGCAAGUCUGCCGUUAAAGAAUGGAGCUUAACUCCAUAGGAGCGGUGGAAACUGCAAGACUAGAGUACAGUAGGGGUAGCAGGAAUUCCCAGUGUAGCGGUGAAAUGCGUAGAUAUUGGGAAGAACAUCGGUGGCGAAAGCGUGCUACUGGGCUGAAACUGACACUGAGGGACGAAAGCUAGGGUAGCG
rnacentral:rRNA from 1 species